CCUACGGGAGGCAGCAGUGAGGAAUAUUGGUCAAUGGGCGCGAGCCUGAACCAGCCAAGUAGCGUGAAGGAUGACUGCCCUACGGGUUGAAAACUUCUUUGAUAAAGGAGUAAAGUGAGGCAAGUGUGCCUUUUUGUAUGUACUUUAUGAAUAAGGAUAGGCUAACUCCGCGCCAGCAGCCGCGGUAAUAUGGAGGGUCCGAGCGGUAUCCGGAUUUAUUGGGUUUAAAGGGAUCGAUGGUGGGGUGUUCAGUCAGUUGUGAAAGUUUGCGGCUCAACCGUAAAAUUGCAAUUGAUACUGGCAGUCGUGAGUACAGUUGAGGUAGGCGGAAUUCGUGGUGUAGCGGUGAAAUGCUUAGAUAUCACGAAGAACUCCGAUUGCGAAGGCAGCUUACUAAACUGCCACUGACAUUGAUGCUCGAAAGUGUGGGUAUCAAACAGGAUUAGAUACCCCUGUAGUC
rnacentral:rRNA from 1 species